AGUGAACGCUAGCGGCGUGGAUUAGGCAUGCAAGUCGAACGCGAAAGGAUGAUGAAGGAUUCUUCGGAUGACUGAUUCGCUGAGUAGAGUGGCGCAAGGGUGAGUAAUACAUGGCUAACGUGCCUCCAACACUGGAAUAACAACUGGAAACGGUUGCUAAUGCCGGAUAGCCCCAUUCCACCACAUGAUGGAAUGGGUAAAGGUGGGGAUCCCUUCGGGGACCUCCUGGUUGGAGAGCGGGUCAUGGGCUAUCAGCUUGUUGGUGAGGUAAAGGCUCACCAAGGCUAUGACGGCUAGGCGAUCUGAGAGGAUGAUCGCCCACAUCGGGACUGAGACACUGCCCGG
rnacentral:rRNA from 1 species